CCGUAGCCCAAGAGAUCGGGAUAACACCUGGAAAUAGAUGCUAAUACCGGAUAACAACAGAUGAUGCCUAUCAACUGUUUAAAAGAUGGUUCUGCUAUCACUCUUGGAUGGACCUGCGGUGCAUUAGCUAGUUGGUAGGGUAACGGCCUACCAAGGCGAUGAUGCAUAGCCGAGUUGAGAGACUGAUCGGCCACAUUGGGACUGAGACACGGCCCAAACUCCUACGGGAGGCAGCAGCC
rnacentral:rRNA from 1 species